rnacentral:rRNA from 1 species
GACGAACGCUGGCGGCGUGCUUAACACAUGCAAGUCGAACGGAAAGGCCCUUCGGGGUACUCGCGUGGCGAACGGGUGAGUAACACGUGGGUGAUCUGCCCUGCACUUUGGGAUAAGCCUGGGAAACUGGGUCUAAUACCGAAUAGGACCACGCGCUUCAUGGUGUGUGGGGGAAAGCUUUUGCGGUGUGGGAUGGGCCCGCGGCCUAUCAGCUUGUUGGUGGAGUACUGGCUUACCAAGGCGACGACGGGUAGCCGGCCUGGGAGGGUGACCGGCCACACUGGUACUGAGAUACGGCCCAGACUCCUACGUUAGGCAGCAGGGGGGAAUAUUGCACAAUGGGCGCAAGCCUGAUGCAGCGGCGCCGCGUUAGGAAUGACGGCCUUCGGGUUGUAAACCUCUGUCACCAUGGACGAAGCGUAAGUGACGGUACCUGGAGAAGAAGCACCGGCCAACUACGUG